AGAACAGACGGCCCCGUAACACGGGCCGCCCCCGCCAGAGGACCCCCUAACUCUGUUUCUAUAAUGUUUCUUCUGAGUAAACAAGCAAAUAAAUUAAAACUUUCAACAACGGAUCUCUUGGCUCUGGCAUCGAUGAAGAACGCAGCGAAAUGCGAUAAGUAAUGUUGAAUUGCAGAAUUCAGUGAAUCAUCGAAUCUUUGAACGCACAUUGCGCCCGCCAGUAUUCUGGCGGGCAUGCCUGUUCGAGCGUCAUUACAACCCUCAGGCCCCCGGGCCUGGCGUUGGGGAUCGGCGGAAGCCCCCUGCGGGCACAACGCCGUCCCCCAAAUACAGUGGCGGUCCCGCCGCAGCUUCCAUUGCGUAGUAGCUAACACCUCGCAACUGGAGAGCGGCGCGGCCACGCCGUAAAACACCCAACUUCUGAAUGUUGACCUCGAAUCAGGUAGGAAUACCCGCUGAACUUAAGCAUAUCAAUAAGCGGAGGAA
rnacentral:misc_RNA from 1 species